UGGGGAAUAUUGCACAAUGGGGGAAACCCUGAUGCAGCGACGCCGCGUGGAGGAAGAAGGUCUUCGGAUUGUAAACUCCUGUUGUUGGGGAAGAUAAUGACGGUACCCAACAAGGAAGUGACGGCUAACUACGUGCCAGCAGCCGCGGUAAAACGUAGGUCACAAGCGUUGUCCGGAAUUACUGGGUGUAAAGGGAGCGCAGGCGGGAAGACAAGUUGGAAGUGAAAUCUAUGGGCUCAACCCAUAAACUGCUUUCAAAACUGUUUUUCUUGAGUAGUGCAGAGGUAGGCGGAAUUCCUAGUGUAGCGGUGAAAUGCGUAGAUAUUAGGAGGAACACCAGUGGCGAAGGCGGAUUGCUGGACGACAACUGACGGUGAGGCGCGAAAGCGUGGGGAGCAAACAGGAUUAGAUACCCUGGUAGUCCACGCUGUAAACGAUGAAUACUAGGUGUGCGGGGACUGACCCCCUGCGUGCCGCAGUUAACACAAUAAGUAUUCCACCUGGGGAGUACGAUCGCAAGGUUGAAACUCAAAGGAAUUGACGGGGGCCCGCACAAGCGGUGGAUUAUGUGGUUUAAUUCGAAGCAACGCGAAGAACCUUACCAGGGCUUGACAUCCUACUAACGAAGUAGAGAUACAUCAGGUGCCCUUCGGGGAAAGUAGAGACAGGUGGUGCAUGGUUGUCGUCAGCUCGUGUCGUGAGAUGUUGGGGUUAAGUCCCGCAACGAGCGCAACCCCUAUUGUUAGUUGCUACGCAAGAGCACUCUAGCGAGACUGCCGUUGACAAAACGGAGGAAGGUGGGGACGACGUCAAAUCAUCAUGCCCCUUAUGUCCUGGGCUACACACGUAAUACAAUGGCGGUCAACAGAGGGAUGCAAUACCGUAAGGUGGAGCGAACCCCUAAAAGCCGUCCCAGUUCAGAUUGUGGGCUGCAACCCGCCCACAUGAAGUCGGAAUCGCUAGUAAUCGCGGAUCAGCAUGCCGCGGUGAAUACGUUCCC
rnacentral:rRNA from 1 species